GUCUUUUUGUUAAUGAUUUAAAGUCUGGCCUGCUCUAUGAAUUAUUUAAAUGGCCGCAGUAUUUUGACUGUGCAAAGGUAGCAUAAUAAUUAGUUUCUUAAUUAGGAACUGGUAUGAAUGGUUGNACGAGAAAAAUGCUGUCUCGGUUUAAUUUUAAUUAGAAUUUUAUUUUUAAGUUAAAAAGCUUAAAUGUGUUUAAAAGACGAGAAGACCCUAUAGAGUUUUAUAUUAUUUUUUAUUUAUUUAUUUAGAAUUUAUUUAAAUANUUUAAUUAAUAGUAUUUUGUUGGGGUGAUGGAAAAAUUUAAUAAACUUUUUUUAUAUUGUUACAUUUAUUUAUGAUUAGUUGAUCCAUUUUUUAUGAUUAAAAGUUUAAAUUACCUUAGGGAUAACAGCGUAAUUUUUUUUAAGAGUUCUUAUCGAAAAAAAAGUUUGCGACCUCGAUGUUGGAUUUAAAA
rnacentral:rRNA from 1 species